GUCUGACAGUUUGAAAGCCAGCGGGGCUGCGCUGUUUCCUGGUCUGGAUUUGUAAAGACGGAGCUGGACUCGCUGGAAUGCGACAUCCAAAGGCGAUGUUAAGCAAAAAAAGAGAAAAGAACAAAGACUUCCAAUGCAACUUGGCUCAUGCCACCUCCAUAAGUUCUUCAGUUGGGGGAUGCAUCAGUGAAGGGAGGGAAGAGGAGUAGAGAAGUCUGGUGGAGAGCUUCAUUGGAAGAAGAAACGCCUAGCUUAAUGUCAGUAAGAUCAAGAAGUUGAUCGUGUACUUCAGGCGAAUCGGGGAACCACUGACGGCUCUCAUCAUCCAGGGUGAGACUGUGGAGAUGGUUCAGUGCCAUAAGUACUUUGAAGUUUGCACAUCAGCAACAGACCGGACUGGAGCAACAGCACAGAUGGACUCUACAGGAAAGGGUAGAGUAAGGGUAGAGUAAACUGUUCUUCCUGAGGAGACUCAAGUUCUUUGGUGUGUGCAGCAAACUGCUGCACAUGUUCUUCCAAUCUGUUCUUUGCUGCUGUUUGCAGGAAGGCUGGACAAGUUGAUUUAGAAAGCCAGCUCUAUCACAGGGCUGAGGGUGGACACACCCAGAAGGGUGGUAUCCAAACUACUCUCACUGAGAUGAGAGGCCCGUUCAGCCUUAAGCUCAGCUCCCCAGGGUGCAAACGCAUACGUUUCACACGCUGUUUUGCACCCAGAGGCAUUCAGCUAUUCGCUGCCCCCUCUUCCAGCAGCUCAGACACCAGCCAGUUAGAAGGAAUUUCACAAACCCUCCAUCUGUAUUACUAACUGUAUCUGCACCCCACCCUGGAUAUUUGUCUUCUGUUCACAUCAUUGCUGCCUGUUGGCAUCAUAUUACCAGUGUACAUUGCACUGUUACAUACGGCGCUCAUAGAAAGUGUUGGGACGCUUGCUUAAUUCUGUAACAAUGUUGCAACUUUACUGGUUUCAUAACAAGUCCAUUGACAAACAAUGUUUAACAUCUGCACAUAUCUUUCACAGACAUUUUCUUUUAAGUGUUUUAAGUUCUUUUCUUUUAAGUGACCCAUUCAGUUCUUUUCUUACCCAUUUUGUUAUUAUUUGCAAUUGCAUCGGCUCCCAAAUGGACAGUAAACACUAAUGUUUAGUAUUUUAUGUUAUUGCAAUGGUGUUUCUAAUUAAAAAGCAGCCAUUGACACUGCAAGAACUGUAAUGUGGGUUUCAAUUUAUUACUACUUGAAAAUAAUGUUUUACUUAAAACUACUGAUUGUUUCUAAUGUAAUAUUUUUUUUGUAAACAAAAGAAUAAAAUAAUGAUUUUGUUUUAAAAUCAAUAAAUUUGCUAUAUUUGUACUGAAAUAAGCAAACGUCCUAAGACUUUCUGUGAGUUCUGUACAUUGCCCGCAUUUUUUUGCCAGUUGACUUGUAUGGUCUGUUUGUACCGUUUGCUUUUAUUUGUUAUAUACCUUCCAUUCGUAUAUCUCUUGCUUAUGUACUGUAAACACAGUGUAUACUGCAGAUUCUUUAUGCAAUGUAUACAUUCCUGAUCUUAUUUAUUCUGUUUUACCAUUUUUUAAUCUAUAUAUUCUUGUCGCUGGACUGAGGAGAUUUCCCGCCAGGGGAUCACACACGGUUAUCCAAAGACGGUCAGCCAGUUCCUGAAGCAAUUGGGAGUUAAGGAGCCUGUUCAGGGUGACAUCACUCUGCCAACUGCAGGAUUCGAACCAGCGACCUUUGAC